rnacentral:rRNA from 1 species
CCUACGGGUGUCAGCAGUGAGGAAUAUUGGUCAAUGGACGAGAGUCUGAACCAGCCAAGUAGCGUGUAGGAUGACUGCCCUAUGGGUUGUAAACUUCUUUUAUAUGGGGAUAGAAUGUUCCGCGUAUGAGAUUUUGUAUUUACCAUAUGAAUAAGAAUCGGCUAACUCCGUUCCAGCAGCCGCGUUAAUACGAAGGAUCCGAGCGUUAUCCGGAUUUAUUGGGUUUAAAGUGAGCGUAGGUGGAUUGUUAAGUCAGUUGUGAAAGUUUGCGGCUCAACCGUAAAAUUGCAGUUGAAACUGGCAGUCUUGAGUAUAGUAGAGGUGGGUGGAAUUCGUGGUGUAGCGGUGAAAUGCUUAGAGAUCACGAAGAAUGCCGAUUGCGAAGGCAGUCCACUGGACUGCAACUGACACUGAGGUUCGAAAGUGUGGGUAUCAAACAGGAUUAGAUACCCCUGUAGUC